rnacentral:rRNA from 1 species
GACGAACGCUGGCGGCGUGCUUAACACAUGCCAGUCGAACGGAAAGGCCCUGCUUUUGUGGGGUGCUCGAGUGGCGAACGGGUGAGUAACACGUGAGUAACCUGCCCUUGACUUUGGGAUAUCUUCAGGAAACUGGGGCUAAUACCGGAUACGAGCUGCUGCUGCUUGGUGGGGGUUGGAAAGUUUGGGCGGAUGGGGACGUACGCGCGGUUUAUCAGCUUGUUGGUGGGGUAGUGGCUUACCAAGGCCUCGACGGGUAGCCGGCAUUGGAGGGUGGCCGGGCUCAUUGCUACUGAGAUACGGCCCAGACUCCUACGGUAGGCAGUAGUGGGGAAUAUUAUACAAUGGGGGGGAGCCUGAUGCAGCAAUGCUGCGAUUGUAAUGACGGUCUUCUUGUUAUAAACCGCAUUCACCUGUGACGUUGCUGGAGUGACGGUAAUGGGUGAAGAAGCACCGGCUAACUUCGUG